AAAAACGCCAGGCAUAGUACUACGUACUUUGUGUCUGUUAUUUAUUUCUCACAGUGGACCAUAAGCUCCAUGAGGACAGGAACUAUGUCUAUUUCACUUACCUUUGUGGAUUCAGGUAGGAUAUUGCCUGGUGCAUAGGAGGCACUCAAUAAAUGUCUGUUGAAUGAAUGAAGUAAUUAACUAAGCAGGUAUUUAUUAUUAUUCCCAUACAAUAGAUUGGAAAAGCAAGGCUCAGAGAAGUAAAGUAACUUACUGGAGGUUAUAUAACCAGGAGGUCCUGAAGGUGAGACUCAAACCUUAGUCUAUCUGACCACAAAGUCCAGGUUUUUGCCAUUCCCCAAGCUGCUGUGGUCUCUCCUUCCUACAUCUGGGAAACUGAGGUUCAGAGUAAAAGAAAGAGCCUUGAUGGAGGUCUCCCAUAAUCCUAAAAAUAAAACCAGCCAGCCACAGGCUCCAGGCUGCUGUUUUGGCCAUGAGACACAUUUGCAUCACUUUCAAUGGCUUCCAAAGAUUUGGGAUAGAAGGAAUACCAGCAGUUUAGGUAAAAGGUUUAAAUUUAGUUUGACUCAAUACCACAUCAAGCCCUCAAAGCAGCCACGGGCUCCCCUGCACUGUGGUCACUGAAGGAGCAAAAGCUGCUGAACUGGCUGUAGCGUCCUGCCUUGAGUUGUUUGUGUUCUCCUGCUAGCUGCAAUGCCCAGGUCUUUGAAUCCUGUCACCAAUAAAUGAUGCUGUUGUCAUGUGCAAGCAACCAAAUUAAUGUGGGUGGAAAAACCCAAGCUUAGUGAUUUGGGCAAAUUAGUUUAUCUGUCACAUAGCCAGUGGUGGUGUUAAAUCACUCUCUGUUUGAGGAGUAAUCACUCUCCCCCCAUCACCACCCUGUCUUCCUUUCGGUGUGGAAGUUAGAACAGCCAAGUCAAUCCGUUUCAGUGACUGAGCGAUCUACAUUUCUGUGUUUUGACUGCCCCCCAGGAGGAGUAUGUUGUGUAGUGCAUUUUGUUUGUCCAUAGUGCUGUCUCGUGGUCCUCCGAAGCCACCUCUAAUGAUCAUAAUUGCCUCUUUUAUUCUUCUCUAGUCCGUGUCUUUGCAAAAUGAUUCUGUUACCUAUGCU
rnacentral:lncRNA from 10 species